GACAGAGGGUGCAAACGUUGCUCGGAAUUACUGGGCGUAAAGCGUGCGCAGGCGGUGAUGUAAGACAGUUGUGAAAUCCCCGGGCUCAACCUGGGAACUGCAUCUGUGACUGCAUCGCUGGAGUGCGGCAGAGGGGGAUGGAAUUCCGCGUGUAGCAGUGAAAUGCGUAGAUAUGCGGAGGAACACCGAUGGCGAAGGCAAUCCCCUGGGCCUGCACUGACGCUCAUGCACGAAAGCGUGGGGAGCAAACAGG
rnacentral:rRNA from 1 species